rnacentral:rRNA from 1 species
GACGAACGCUGGCGGCGUGCUUAACACACGCAAGUCGAGCGGUAAGGCCCUUUCGGGGGUACACGAGCAGCGAACGGGUGAGUAACACGUGGGUGACCUGCCCUCAGCUCUGGGAUAAGCCUGGGAAACCGGGUCUAAUACCGGAUAUGACUCCAUGACGCAUGUUGUGGGGUGGAAAGCCUUGUGCGGCUGAGGAUGGGCCCGCGGCCUAUCAGCUUGUUGGUGGGGUGAUGGCCUACCAAGGCGACGACGGGUAGCCGGCCUGAGAGGGCGACCGGCCACACUGGGACUGAGACACGGCCCAGACUCCUACGGGAGGCAGCAGUGGGGAAUCUUGCGCAAUGGGCGAAAGCCUGACGCAGCGACGCCGCGUGAGGGAUGACGGCC